rnacentral:sRNA from 1 species
AUUUAGCCCCGAUUGAAAUGAAAAUCCUUUUGGACUGGGGUUCAGUCCAAAAGAUUGCAAUGGAAAGCGGGAGGAUGC